AGAAGUUGGACGUUUUUUUAAAGGUCCUCGCGCUCGCCAAGAGAUGAAAUAGAUGCUCAGAAGUGAAAUACGAAAAGAAUCGGAUCUGGCGCCUCCUAACGAAGCCCACAAACAAGUGAAGGAUGGCACCAAUGACUUUUUAAACCUCCUUAAAAUGAUAUUCAUUUAUUCACUAUUUAUUGAGCACAUCCUUGAUUCCUAUACAGAAAAAUCAUGACAGGAAACCCUCCUUGUUACUCUGCAGCACCUAUUCAUGGCAGUGAAUAUGAUCCUCUUGCCUCAGCCUCUGAAGUAAUUGGGACUACAGGGACACACUCAGGUACUCUGUAGAAGCACAGCACAGAGUGAUUGCAGAUGGGUCCUUAAUCCUUCCAGAGUCCUAACUUUUCAGCCUAUGUACUCAGAUACCCUAGGGAAGUGACUUCACCUCUUUGAACCUCCUCCUCAUCAUCAUCUGUACAAUGGGAUAUAAUAGACAUUCUUGGGAAGAUGAAACUAGACCACGGAGACCAGUCUACCUGCUUCCUAUCCUUGCUUUCUGUUUCUCUGUAGCACUGAUCACCGUGGAUCAUAUUAUAUAUUUUACUUACUGAUUUUAUUUUUUUUCUCCUUUCACUAGGAUAUCUAUUUUGUUUAUCUCUGUAUUCCCAGCCUUUAGAACAGAACUUGGCCCAUGGUAGGUUCUCAUAAAUAUUUGUUGAAUAAAACAAAUGGUUGGUUGUAAAAUGAUGACUGAGUGCCUGACAUUGGGCAGA